ensembl:lncRNA
GGAGGUCUCAUGGCGGCUGCAGCUCCUCACAGGGAGCGGAGGGGCAGCGCUGAGCUCUGCUCUCUGUGACAGCGACAGUUCAGCAAAGUCAUCAACAGCUGUCUGAGAAACCAAGGAUGGGCUCAGUGUAUGGCACUGAGGCAGCAUUUGGAGGCAGGGACUGGAGUGUCUGAGCAGCUCUGCGAGGGACCACUCGGGUGAGAAAGAUGUGUGCAGAAUCACAGCAGGAAGGUAACAGAUGCUUUUCAAGUGAGCUGUAUGCAGUGAUCACUUCAGCUGUAUGCUGUUAGGUCUUGACCUAGCAAAGGAGUGAUUGUCUGGAGCCAGAUGACACAAUAAAAUCCUAAUAAAAUCUCUUUAUAGUACUGAACUGUUGGCCUUUAUGACUUGUAAAAUGUGUGUUGUAGGACUUUUUAUUGAUACUCAGCACCCUUUGCUACCAGAAUGGAAAGAGGAGAGAGAAGUGGUGUUAAAGAGAGCCUGAACUGCAGACACCUCUGGCGUGUGAGCCCGGGUACUCCUUCAGUGGCACAACAGAAACACAGUCCCUCACGUGAGUGCACAGAGGCGCUCAUGGCUCAGGAUAUCCCAACAGAAACGCCGAGCUGUGCCUUAAGGAUGCCGGGCAGCGCUGUCCCACUGCGGGCUGCGGAAACACCGAGGGGAGAAGCUGAGACAAGAAGCCGCAGUGCAUGGCACUUACAUGUUCCUAAGUGAUGUGGCAUCAGAAAGCAGGAACCGGUGAUGGUGGCCAACCUCUGCACGUCUGUGCUGAUGAACCUUCCUUUGUGCAGAAGUGUGUCACAGAGAGCCAAGGUGGAAGGAAAACACGUCACCAAAGGAAUGUUUUACUACUUGACGAUUAUGCUUCACACACACUUUGUCUUAAUAAGACAUUAAUUUCCCUCGCCGUGUAGAGGCUUCCGAGUGGGGGUUUUACAGCUCGGGACGGUGCUGAGCGAUGCACACACAGACAGACACGCAGUGCACAGCAAAUUGCCGCUGUGUGCCCCUGGGACUGCCGUAGCAGAAGGGAUGGGCUGGAAACUGGAGAAAAAAGCGGACCAUACAAAAAUCCCAUGUGAUCCGGAUCCCAGAAGAGCGAGCCCCACUUAGGGCUGCACUGUGCAAACACCGGCUGAAAUCCUUGUGCGAACACGCAAAACCAAGAAAAAAGUUGCAGCGUGCGCGGCUUUUCUCUUUUCCCGAACCGUUCCCGCUAUUGGCCUUCCCUCCCCUCCCUCCCUCGGAGCCUCCGGCCGUUUCGUUGCGUUUCAUCAUGCUCCCGCCGCCCG